UCUGUCCUACGGGGCGCAGCAGUAGGGAAUCUUCCACAAUGGGCGAAAGCCUGAUGGAGCAACGCCGCGUGGGUGAAGAAGGUCUUCGGAUCGUAAACCCCUGUUGUUAGAGAAGAAAGUGCGUGAGAGUAACUGUUCACAUUUCGACGGUAUCUAACCAGAAAGCCACGGCUAACUACGUGCCAGCAGCCGCGGUAAUACGUAGGUGGCAAGCGUUAUCCGGAUUUAUUGGGCG
rnacentral:rRNA from 1 species